rnacentral:rRNA from 1 species
AUAAGCAAUUAUACAGCGAAACUGCGAAUGGCUCAUUAUAUAAGUUAUCGUUUAUUUGAUAGUACCUUACUACUUGGACAACCGUGGUAAUUCUAGAGCUAAUACAUGCUAAAAAUCCCGACUUCGGAAGGGAUGUAUUUAUUAGAUUAAAAACCAAUGCCCUUCGGGGCUCCUUGGUGAUUCAUGAUAACUCCUCGAAUCGCACGGCCUUGCGCCGGCGAUGGUUCAUUCAAAUUUCUUCCCUAUCAACUUUCGAUGUUUGGGUAUUGGCCAAACAUGGUUGCAACGGGUAACGGAGGGUUAGGGCUCGACCCCGGAGAAGGAGCCUGAGAAACGGCUACUACAUCCAAGGAAGGCAGCAGGCGCGCAAAUUACCCAAUCCCGACUCGGGGAGGUAGUGACAAUAAAUACUGAUACAGGGCUCUUUUGGGUCUUGUAAUUGGAAUGAGUACAAUUUAAAUCCCUUAACGAGGAACAAUUGGAGGGCAAGUCUGGUGCCAGCAGCCGCGGUAAUUCCAGCU